ACUCCUACGGGAGGCAGCAGUAGGGAAUUUUCCGCAAUGGACGAAAGUCUGACGGAGCAAUGCCGCGUGAGUGAUGAAGGUUUUCGAAUCGUAAAGCUCUGUUGUAAGGGAAGAAUANCAAGAUAGGUAAAAUGAUUCUUGNCUUGACGGUACCUUACCAGAAAGCCACGGCUAACUACGUGCCAGCAGCCGCGGUAAUACGUAGGUGGCAAGCGUUAUCCGGAAUUAUUGGGCGUAAAGCGCAUGUAGGCGGCUUUUUAAGUCUGAUGUGAAAGCCCAGGU
rnacentral:rRNA from 1 species